AGUGAACGCUGGCGGUAGGCCUAACACAUGCAAGUCGAAUGGCAGCACAGUAAGAGCUUGCUCUUACGGGUGGCGAGUGGCGGACGGGUGAGGAAUACAUCGGAAUCUACUUUUUCGUGGGGGAUAACGUAGGGAAACUUACGCUAAUACCGCAUACGACCUACGGGUGAAAGCAGGGGAUCUUCGGACCUUGCGCGAUUGAAUGAGCCGAUGUCGGAUUAGCUAGUUGGCGGGGUAAAGGCCCACCAAGGCGACGAUCCGUAGCUGGUCUGAGAGGAUGAUCAGCCACACUGGAACUGAGACACGGUCCAGACUACUACGGGAGGCAGCAGUGGGGAAUAUUGGACAAUGGGCGCAAGCCUGAUCCAGCCAUACCGCGUGGGUGAAGAAGGCCUUCGGGUUGUAAAGCCCUUUUGUUGGGAAAGAAAAGCAGCAGGUUAAUACCCCGCUGUUCUGACGGUACCCAAAGAAUAAGCACCGGCUAACUUCGUG
rnacentral:rRNA from 1 species